AUAAACCCCAGUAGAGACUCUCACUUAGCCAAGGCCACUUCUGCAUCCACUGCAGAUGAGUGUGGUGCUCCAGGGAACCAGUUUUAUUCCAGGCUUCACCAGUGAUUCAUUUCUGGAUGCUGUCUGAGUGAUUCCCUUUGGGCCUCACUUUGCUUAACUUGAUCUGGAAACAGUGACCUAGAUGCAGUUGUCUUCUGCUUAACACCCAAAUGUUUGUUGUGGUCACUGCUUCAUAAGUAUGAAGGGAGGCUCCCGAAGCGGCCAGUUCACUGUGGUGCCAGGUGAAAAUGUGGUUGCAAUGCAAUUAGAAACGAAGACUAGUGCCAAGCUUUGCUUUGCAUUUGUUUCCUCUUGUGGAUCUCAACCCAAGCUUGCUGCUUUCCAGAUCCACGCUCUAAUUGACAUGCACCUUGUGGCGUGGCUGGAGGCUAUGCCAAUAAUGCACAUAUUCAUGGCAUGGCAGGCAGAUAGGCUCCCCCCCCCCCCCCAGACAUCAUAAUUCCAAGCAAACAUCAGACGAGCAGCUGGCUUUGAUGUGGGUCCUGAGUUUGCAACCUCAAAA